rnacentral:tRNA from 1 species
AUUUAUAUAGUUUAAAAUAAAAACUUUACAUUUUCAUUGUAAAAAUAAAACUUAAUGUUUUUAUAAAUU